UACGGGGGGGGCAAGCGUUGUUCGGAAUUACUGGGCGUAAAGGGCUCGUAGGCGGCCAACUAAGUCAGACGUGAAAUCCCUCAGCUUAACUGGGGAACUGCGUCUGAUACUGGAUGGCUAGAGUGUGGGAGAGGGAUGCGGAAUUCCAGGUGUAGCGGUGAAAUGCGUAGAUAUCUGGAGGAACACCGGUGGCGAAGGCGGCAUCCUGGACCACGACUGACGCUGAGUGAGCGAAAGCCAGGGGAGCAAACGGGG
rnacentral:rRNA from 1 species